rnacentral:rRNA from 1 species
UACGUAGGGGGCUAGCGUUGUCCGGAAUUAUUGGGCGUAAAGAGCGUGUAGGCGGCCAGAUAAGUCCGCUGUGAAAUCUCGAGGCUCAACUUCGAGCUGUCGGUGGAAACUAUCUGGCUAGAGUCCGGAAGAGGAGAAUGGAAUUCCUGGUGUAGCGGUGAAAUGCGCAGAUAUCAGGAAGAACACCCGUGGCGAAGGCGGUUCUCUGGGCCGAUACUGACGCUGAGGAGCGAAAGCGUGGGGAGCGAACAGG